UACAGCCACAUCGCGUUGAAACACUGGUUUCCAUAAGAUCACCGAAGUUAAGCAACGUCGAACCUGGCCAGUAUCUAGAUGGGUGAGCGUUUAGGAAUUCUAGAUGCU